UCAACCGAGAUUCCCCCAGUAGCGGCGAGCGAACGGGGAGAGCCCAGAGCCUGAAUCAGUGUGUGUGUUAGUGGAAGCGUCUGGAAAGGCGCGCGAUACGGGUGACAGCCCCGUACACAAAAAUGCACAUACUGUGAGCUCGAUGAGUAGGGCGGGACCGUGGUAUCCUGUCUGAAUAUGGGGGGACCAUCCUCCAAGGCUAAAUACUCCUGACUGACGAUAGUGAACCAGUACCGUGAGGGAAAGGCGAAAAGAACCCCGGCGAGGGGAGUGAAAAGAACCUGAAACCGUGUACGUACAAGCAGUGGGAGCCUCUUUAUGGGGUGACUGCGUACUUUUGUAUAAUGGGUCAGCGACUUAUAUUCUGUAGCAAGGUUAACCGAAUAGGGGAGCCAAGGGAAACCGAGUCUUAACUGGGCGUUAAGUUGCAGGGUAUAGACCCGAAACCCGGUGUCUAGCCAUGGGCAGGUUGAAGGUUGGGUAACACUAACUGGAGGACCGAACCGACUAAUUUGAAAAAUUAGCGGAUGACUUGUGGCUGGGGGUGAAAGGCCAAUCAAACCGGGAGAUACUGGUUCUCCCCGAAAGCUAUUUAGGUAGCGCCUCGUGAAUUCAUCUCCGGGGGUAGAGACUGUUUCGGCAAGGGGGUCAUCCCGACUUACCAACCCGAUGCAAACUGCGAAUACCGGGAAUGUUAUCACGGGAGACACACGGCGGGUGCUAACGUCCGUCGUGAAGAGGGAAACAACCAGACCGCCAGCUAAGGUCCCAAAGUCAUGGUUAAGUGGGAAACGAUGUGGGAAGGCCAGACAGCCAGGAUGUUGGCUUAGAAGCAGCCAUCAUUUAAAGAAAGCGUAAUAGCUCACGGUCGAGUCGGCCUGCGCGGAAGAUGUAACGGGGCUAAACCAUGCACCGAAGCUGCGGCGCGACACUAUGUGUUGUUGGGUAGGGGAGCGUUCUGUAAGCCUGUGAAGGUGUGCUGUGGGCAUGCUGGAGGUAUCAGAAGUGCGAAUGCUGACAUAAGUAACGAUAAAGCGGGUGAAAGCCCGCUCGCCGGAAGACCAAGGGUUCCUGUCCAACGUUAAUCGGGGCAGGGUGAGUCACCCCUAAGGCGAGGCCGAAAGGCGUAGUCGAUGGGAAACAGGUUAAUAUUCCUGUACUGGUGUUACUGCGAAGGGGGGACGGAGAAGGCUAUGUUGGCCGGGCGACGGUUGUCCCGGUUAAGCGUGUAGGCUGGUUUUCCAGGCAAAUCCGGAAAAUCAAGGCUGAGGCGUGAUGAGAGGCACUACGGUGCUGAAGCAACAAAUGCCCUGCUUCCAGGAAAAGCCUCUAAGCAUCGGUAACAUCAAAUCGUACCCCAAACCGACACAGGUGGUCAGGUAGAGAAUACCAAGGCGUUGAGAGAACUCGGGUGAAGGAACUAGGCAAAAUGGUGCCGUAACUUCGGGAGAAGGCAGCUGAUAUGUAGGUGAAGUCCCUUGCGGAUGGAGCUGAAAUCAGUCGAAGAUACCAGCUGCUGCAACUGUUUAUUAAAAACACAGCACUGUGCAAACACGAAAGUGGACGUAUACGGUUGACGCCUGCCCGGUGCCGGAAGGUUAAUUGAUGGGGUUAGCGGUAACGCGAAGCUCUUAUCGAAGCCCCGGUAAACGGCGGCCGUAACUAUAACGGUCCUAAGGUAGCGAAAUUCCUGUCGGGUAAGUUCCGACCUGCACGAAUGGCGUAAUGAUGGCCAGGCUGUCUCCACCCGAACUCAGUGAAAUUGAACUCGCUGUGAAGAUGCAGUGUACCCGCGGCAAGACGGAAAGACCCGUGAACCUUUACUAUAGCUUGACACUGAACAUUGAGCCUUGAUGUGUAGGAUAGGUGGAGGCUUUGAAGUGUGGACGCCAGUCUGCAUGGAGCCGACCUUGAAAUACCACCCUUUAUGUUUGAUGUUCUAACGUUGGCCCCUAAUCGGGGUUGCGGACAGUGUCUGGUGGGUAGUUGACUGGGGCGGUCUCCUCCUAAAGAGUAACGGAGGAGCACGAAGGUUGGCUAAUCCUGUCGGACAUCAGGAGGUUAGUGCAAUGGCAUAAGCCAGCUUGACUGCGAGCGUGACGGCGGAGCAGGUGCGAAAGCAGGUCAUAGUGAUCCGGUGGUUCUGAAUGGAAGGGCCAUCGCUAACGGAUAAAAGGUACUCCGGGGAUAACAGGCUGAUACCGCCCAAGAGUUCAUAUCGACGCGGUGUUUGGCACCUCGAUGUCGGCUCAUCACAUCCUGGGGCUGAAGUAGGUCCCAAGGUAUGGCUGUUCGCCAUUUAAAGUGGUACGCGAGCUGGGUUUAGAACGUCGUGAGACAGUCGGUCCCUAUCUGCCGUGGGCGCUGGAGAACUGAGGGGGGCUGCUCCUAGUACGAGAGACCGGAGUGGACGCAUCACUGGUGUUCGGGUUGUCAUGCCAAUGGCACUGCCCGGUAGCAAAUGCGGAAGAGAUAAGUGCUGAAAGCAUCUAAGCACGAAACUUGCCCCGAGAUGAGUCUCCCUGACUCCUUGA
rnacentral:rRNA from 1 species